rnacentral:rRNA from 1 species
CACAAGUUAUGUUGUGUUAUCGACAAGUGAAUUCAUAGCUUGUCAGAAGGCAGACCCGGAGAACUGAAACAUCUUAGUACCCGGAGGAAGAGAAAGAAAAUUCGAUUCCCUGAGUAGCGGCGAGCGAAACGGGAAGAGCCCAAACCAAUAAGCUUGCUUAUUGGGGUUGUAGGACACUCUAUACGGAGUUACAAAGGAAUAUAUUAAACGAAUCAUCUGGAAAGUUGAAUCAAAGAAGGUAAUAAUCCUGUAGUUGAAAAUAUAUUCUCUCUUGAGUGGAUCCUGAGUACGACGGAGCACGUGAAAUUCCGUCGGAAUCUGGGAGGACCAUCUCCUAAGGCUAAAUACUCUCUAGUGACCGAUAGUGAACCAGUACCGUGAGGGAAAGGUGAAAAGUACCCCGGAAGGGGAGUGAAAGAGAACUUGAAACCGUGUGCUUACAAGUAGUCAGAGCCCGUUAAUGGGUGAUGGCGUGCCUUUUGUAGAAUGAACCGGCGAGUUACGAUCUGAUGCAAGGUUAAGCAGAAAAUGUGGAGCCGUAGCGAAAGCGAGUCUGAAUAGGGCGUAUAGUAUUUGGUCGUAGACCCGAAACCAGGUGAUCUACCCAUGGUCAGGUUGAAGUUCAGGUAACACUGAAUGGAGGACCGAACCGACUUACGUUGAAAAGUGAGCGGAUGAACUGUGGGUAGCGGAGAAAUUCCAAUCGAACUUGGAGAUAGCUGGUUCUCUCCGAAAUAGCUUUAGGGCUAGCCUCAAGUGAUGAUUAUUGGAGGUAGAGCACUGUUUGGACGAGGGGCCCCUCUCGGGUUACCGAAUUCAGACAAACUCCGAAUGCCAAUUAAUUUAACUUGGGAGUCAGAACAUGGGUGAUAAGGUCCGUGUUCGAAAGGGAAACAGCCCAGACCACCAGCUAAGGUCCCAAAAUAUAUGUUAAGUGGAAAAGGAUGUGGCGUUGCCCAGACAACUAGGAUGUUGGCUUAGAAGCAGCCAUCAUUUAAAGAGUGCGUAAUAGCUCACUAGUCGAGUGACACUGCGCCGAAAAUGUACCGGGGCUAAACAUAUUACCGAAGCUGUGGAUUGUCCUUUGGACAAUGGUAGGAGAGCGUUCUAAGGGCGUUGAAGCAUGAUCGCAAGGACAUGUGGAGCGCUUAGAAGUGAGAAUGCCGGUGUGAGUAGCGAAAGACGGGUGAGAAUCCCGUCCACCGAUUGACUAAGGUUUCCAGAGGAAGGCUCGUCCGCUCUGGGUUAGUCGGGUCCUAAGCUGAGGCCGACAGGCGUAGGCGAUGGAUAACAGGUUGAUAUUCCUGUACCACCUAUAAUCGUUUUAAUCGAUGGGGGGACGCAGUAGGAUAGGCGAAGCGUACGAUUGGAUUGUACGUCUAAGCAGUGAGAUUGAGUGUUAGGCAAAUCCGGCACUCUUAAGAUUGAGCUGUGAUGGGGAGAGGAAAUUGUUUCCUCGAGUCGUUGAUUUCACACUGCCGAGAAAAGCCUCUAGAUAGAGAUUAGGUGCCCGUACCGCAAACCGACACAGGUAGUCAAGAUGAGAAUUCUAAGGUGAGCGAGCGAACUCUCGUUAAGGAACUCGGCAAAAUGACCCCGUAACUUCGGGAGAAGGGGUGCUCUUUAGGGUGCAAGCCCAGAAGAGCCGCAGUGAAUAGGCCCAAGCGACUGUUUAUCAAAAACACAGGUCUCUGCUAAACCGUAAGGUGAUGUAUAGGGGCUGACGCCUGCCCGGUGCUGGAAGGUUAAGAGGAGUGGUUAGCUUCUGCGAAGCUACGAAUCGAAGCCCCAGUAAACGGCGGCCGUAACUAUAACGGUCCUAAGGUAGCGAAAUUCCUUGUCGGGUAAGUUCCGACCCGCACGAAAGGCGUAACGAUUUGGGCACUGUCUCAACGAGAGACUCGGUGAAAUCAUAGUACCUGUGAAGAUGCAGGUUACCCGCGACAGGACGGAAAGACCCCGUGGAGCUUUACUGUAGCCUGAUAUUGAAAUUCGGCACAGCUUGUACAGGAUAGGUAGGAGCCUUUGAAACGUGAGCGCUAGCUUACGUGGAGGCGUUGGUGGGAUACUACCCUAGCUGUGUUGGCUUUCUAACCCGCACCA